rnacentral:rRNA from 1 species
UACGGGGGGAGCAAGCGUUGUUCGGAUUUACUGGGCGUAAAGGGCGCGUAGGCGGUCGUGACAAGUCACUUGUGAAAUCUCCGGGCUUAACUCGGAACGGUCAAGUGAUACUGUCGGACUAGAGUACAGAAGGGGGCAACUGGAAUUCUCGGUGUAGCGGUGAAAUGCGUAGAUAUCGAGAGGAACACCUGCGGCGAAGGCGGGUUGCUGGGCUGAUACUGACGCUGAGGCGCGAAAGCCAGGGGAGCAAACGGG